rnacentral:rRNA from 1 species
UGAAGUUAAAGGCUGUGGNUUAACCAUAGUACGCUUUGGAAACUGUUUAACUUGAGUGCAGAAGGGGAGAGUGGAAUUCCAUGUGUAGCGGUGAANUGCGUAGAUAUAUGGAGGANCACCGGUGGCGAAAGCGGCUCUCUGGUCUGUAACUGACGCUGAGGCUCGAAAGCGUGGGGAGCGAACAGGAUUAGAUACCCUGGUAGUNCACGCCGUAAACGAUGAGUGCUAGGUGUUAGGCCCUUUCCGGGGCUUAGUGCCGCAGCUAACGCAUUAAGCACUCCGCCUGGGGAGUACGACCGCAAGGUUGAAACUCAAAGGAAUUGACGGGGGCCCGCACAAGCGGUGGAGCAUGUGGUUUAAUUCGAAGCAACGCGAAGAACCUUACCAGGUCUUGACAUCCCGAUGCCCGCUCUAGAGAUAGAGUUUUACUUCGGUACAUCGGUGACAGGUGGUGCAUGGUUGUCGUCAGCUCGUGUCGCGAGAUGUUGGGUUAAGUCCCGCAACGAGCGCAACCCUUAUUGUUAGUUGCCAUCAUUCAGUUGGGCACUCUAGCGAGACUGCCGGUAAUAAACCGGAGGAAGGUGGGGAUGACGUCAAAUCAUCAUGCCCCUUAUGACCUGGGCUACACACGUGCUACAAUGGCUGGUACAACGAGUCGCAAGUCGGUGACGGCAAGCUAAUCUCUUAAAGCCAGUCUCAGUUCGGAUUGUAGGCUGCAACUCGCCUACAUGAAGUCGGAAUCGCUAGUAAUCGCGGAUCAGCACGCCGCGGUGAAUACGUUCCCGGGCCUUGUACACACCGCCCGUCACACCACGAGAGUUUGUAACACCCGAAGU